CUUAAAGGGGCCGGGACGGCGGCGCUGCGGCCCAGCUCAACGGAAACGGGUAAAGGGGCGGGGCCUCAAGCUUGCGCAGCGUGAUGGGCGGAGCCGAGAUCCUUAAAGGAGACAGUCCUGGACAGUUGGAUUGGGGAAACCUGCAGUAGUCCCUAGAACGCCAGGAUUUAUUAGUGGAAAACUCAGAGGACUGGAGCUAGAAGAGGCCUCUCUGGCUUUGGAGAAAAACCAAGGUUUCAGGUUCCACGGUUCAGCUCUCUUUCCUGGUUCUCCUGCACCUCUAAAUCGCCCAAACUGAGCCCGGGAGAUUUCGGAGGUCAAAUCUAUGACCUGCUUCGGCCUCCUAGGCCUGACCCCCCUUCCAACAGACGCUCCUUCAGGACAGCGUCACAGCCUCCAAGGAGACAGGGGCCUGCCUCUACCAUCUCUGCGUAAUGAAGAAAAUAGCUCCGGAUGAUGACAAAUUCUGGUGACUAAAAUAGGGUCCAACGCAUUUUGAGACCUCAAUCCUGUAAUGGAUGGGGAGAGUGCUGUGAGUCACUCCUCUCUCCUCUUUCCUACUGGUCAAGGUCACGAUGGCCUGAUUCCCUGCAGCUCCAAGUUGGGGAAACGUGGCAAGGAAUACCUUUGAUCAGGGAAUAUGAACCUAAGCCUCAGGCUCCACCAUCUGCCAGAGAAAUGGCUCGGGUGCCAGACCUCAAGGUCACACUGGAAAGCAAACCUUGAUAGCUCACCUAGGUCCAAGACCGACGGACUCCUUGACGUCCUGAGAAGGGGAGGGGUUCAGAGUGCUGGCUGCCAUUGUAAAGAAAAAAACACCUAGCAACGAAUAAACUAAACCACACCAAGGAGGAAAGGAUGCCAUCUUGGAAGAUGAAUAUGUUAAAACAGGAGAAUCUCUGGAGAAAGCAGUGUUUAAGGAAAGCAUAUGAUGGUUUGAAUUUCUGGUCAUGGGGAAAUGGGAGAGCAUCUCCCAGAAGCAUUCAAAACGCAUCACACACAUAACCUCCUACUCUGCUAGGAGGUUUGUGGAGAGGAAGAGCUAAAUAAAGCUCUAUAAACAGGAUGGAAACAAAGAGGGGACCUCGGAAUAGAAUGAGAAAAGAAAGACUGAUGACAGGAGUGGGAACCUCAACUGAUAUGCAAGGGACAAACACAGGAAUCUAAAGAUGUUCAUCACCAUAUGCUUAGGUAAUUGUAAGUGAAAACAAUGACGAGAGGUCAAU
rnacentral:lncRNA from 1 species